GUCCAUGCUGUAAACGAUGAUUGCUAGGUGUGGGGGGACUGACCCCCUCUGUGCCGGAGUUAACACAAUAAGCAAUCCACCUGGGAAGUACGACCGCAAGGUUGAAACUCAAAGGAAUUGACGGGGGCCCGCACAAGCAGUGGAGUAUGUGGUUUAAUUCGAAGCAACGCGAAGAACCUUACCAGGUCUUGACAUCCAACUAACGAAGUAGAGAUACAUUAGGUGCCCUUGGGGAAAUUGAGACAGGUGGUGCAUGGUUGUCGU
rnacentral:rRNA from 1 species